UCUCCUGUAGCUCAGUGGUGGAGAGUCGAACCGGUGUGCGGAAGGUCAUAAGUUUGAUUCCUGUUGGGAGAA